AUGUUUCGCGCUUCCACAACCUGGACGGUGGGCGAUGGGCUGAGCUGUCGAUUCUGGACAGAUCACUGGAUUAAUGGCAGCUUUGUGGCCGAGCUUGCUCCUCUUAUCUACGCCCAGGUCCCCUGUUGUCGCUGGAAAGAUCGCACCGUGAGGGACGGCCCGCUCCAUCGUUCCUGGGUGCAGGACAUCCAGGGCACGCUUGGGCCCAUGGCGAUGCUCCAGUACAUUGACCUUUGGCGAACUUUGCGCCAGGUGCACCUCUCUAAAGCUCCGGAUCAGCCAACUUGGCGCUGGACCUCCUCUGGCGUAUACACCGCCAAAUCUUGCUAUGAUCAGCUCUUCGUGGGUGCCAUCCCGGACCCUAACUGGCGGCUCGUUUGGAAAACUUGGGCACCGCUCUGGGUCAAGUUCUUCCUCUGGCUCGCCUUCCUCAACAGAUGCUGGACAACUGAGAGACUCCAGAGACAUGGACUGCCGCACGAGGACUCAUGUGUGCUAUGCGACCAAGCCGAGGAAUCCAUGCAACAUCUCCUCGGUGACUACCCUUCUCCAGGCAAGUUUGGUUCGACGUCAUCUCCUGGUGCAGACGCCAAUCCAACCCCCCGAGCAAGGAAUGCCUUUCAUCGAAUGGUGGGCGCGCUCGAGCACUGCUUUACCUCACUCUAUGUGCAAAGGGCUAAACGCCAUUGUCUCCCUGACGGCGUGGGAGAUCUGGAAACAACGUCAUCUUCGAUGAUGCUCGCCCCUCUAGCCAGAAGCUACUAG
rnacentral:rRNA from 1 species